GACGGUUUAUUUAUUUAUCUUUGUAUCGUUUUGCUGUAACUCGAACCCGGGAAAAGCGCCGAGCUUGCCUGGCCAAGCUACCAGCUGCAGAUCUCCAUGCCAGGUGUAACCCGGGGCGGCGGGCACAAAGAAACCUGUGGAAUACUUGCUCCUUGGCGGCGUUGGGGGCGGGUUGCGGUGUACAGCCAAGGUACCUCAACAAAAACAUAUGCGUGUUAUUUCUCAUAGUUACCAUUUCUAUCGGAAAAUUAAUACCGAAUUGAUAUCGAAUAUCUGAUAUUCCUCCCGCGAUACACAUUC
rnacentral:sRNA from 1 species